rnacentral:piRNA from 1 species
UCCCAGACGGGGCAGCUGGCCGGGCGGA